GACGUAGGGCGCAAGCGUUGUCCGGAUUUAUUGGGCGUAAAGAGCUCGUAGGCGGUGUGUCGCGUCGGCCGUGAAAACCUGGGGCUUAACUCUGGGCGUGCGGUCGAUACGGGCAUCACUGGAGUUCGGCAGGGGGAGACUGGAAUUCCUGGUGUAGCGGUGAAAUGCGCAGAUAUCAGGAGGAACACCGGUGGCGAAGGCGGGUCUCUGGGCCGAUACUGACGCUGAGGAGCGAAAGCAUGGGUAGCGAACAGG
rnacentral:rRNA from 1 species